AAGCCCGCCGAAUGGGGCCGGCCCGGGGGCCGAGCCGCGGCCUCGCCGAGCCCUCGCGACGGUACGACCUCCUUUGCUUCUCUAGCAGAGCCCCGGGCCCGCCCGCGUCCCACCGGGGCUGGGAAGAAACUGGCUGUGGUGCUCGGGGCGGCGGGUUCUGAGAAGUUGCUUGGCUCUCUGAGAAGUGGCUACUGCAAGAACAAAUCCAAUCUGCUUUUCCUGCAGUAAAAUCAUCAGUAACGAAACCCCCGAAUCUUCUUCGAGCUUUCUUUGCACGCAGAGAACACGAAGUCCAGCCCUCACCGUCCACCCCCAGCUGACUGCCAAGGCCGAGCUCAGACUGAUGCAAUGGUACGAAAUUACGAGGCCUGUGGCAGAACAUGCCUCCAUCCACUCAGCGUAUUUCUGCUUCCCAGAGCAAUGGCACACUUUCAGCAACAGCCUGUCUACACUGCAAACUGCUGGUAUUGGUUUUAAUCCACCUUGCUGCUUAAUUGUGGUAAAAAACAGAAGAUUUGCUUUUCAAAAAUUAAGUUUGGAGAGCAUUUUUUUCCCUUUGGCACAUAAGCAUCUGAAAAAGCCGAAAUGAAAGUUUUGUGCUUAGAGAUCUCUUCCCUUCCCCCCGCCCUGGGCUGACCUUUAAUGUUUACCCUCAGCAGAAAAGACUUAACUUCUGUGUUAUGAAAGCAUUAUAAAACAUAACAUCAGUAAGUAUUUGGCAGAUUCUGCCUUCCAAUAUCCAGAACUUCAGCCUGUAUUUCUCAGGCUUUGGCACAUGUGGCAGAGAGGACCCGAGUUCUGGUAUCAUUUAGCAGCUUUGAAAGGCUCUCACCUUUGCCUAGCUGUAUGCAGUCACAAAUGCCCUUUUUUGUUUCAAACAUAGAAAGAAAUCACAAUCCAACCACAGUAAGUUCAUUGUUCCAAUACAUGCAAAGAAAAAAUUGUUUCCCAACAGCACAAGACAAAGCUCUUGCUUUACUGUUCUACCAUGUGUUUUUUUUCUUUAGCUGCUAUUGCUGCCAGGUACCUCACCACUGAAACUUAAAACACAUUAUCGCUGGAUCAAAAUUUUUAAUCUGGAGGUGAAAGAGCAGCUCUACAAAGCUCCCAGCUGGCUUCACUCCCUCCAUCACACUGGAUGCUGUCUGGAUCCACCACUCAGCACCAAUGAACAUUUCUAUCCGUGAUUCUCCCUUAUGCACAGAAUACAGCUUAGAGCUACCAUGACAGCAGUACCCCCCUUCAGCUUUCAAGGAGAAACGUCCCCACUGUGGUCAGAACAACGGAUCAGCUCACACAGAAAACUGGCCUGAAACAUGUUCUCUUUUUCUAACUCUGCUCCUAAAAUAAGUUACCUCUGGCACAGGGGCAGAAACAGGGAGUGGAAGGCUUUCAGCACCACAGCAAGACUCACCACAACUUGUCAGGACCCCCAAGUAUCUCAAUCCUGCUCUCAGUUCACACACAGAUUUGUCCAGUAAGCAAUAAAGUUUUCUGGGAAGAGGCUA